rnacentral:snRNA from 1 species
AUCGCUUCUCGGCCUUUUGGCUAAGAUCAAGUGUAGAACUAGCUGAAAUCUUAGUCAUUUCUUCAUUUGAUAAAUUAGGGAAUAGGCCCAGAGAAAUGGAGACGAAUUCUGAAGGUUACUCAGGGCCAGAACUAGGAAAAAUACAUUUCCUCUAUGCUAGUAUGCUCUC